UCAUAUGCUUGUCUCAAAGAUUAAGCCAUGCAUGUCUGGGUAUAAGCAAUUAUACAGCGAAACUGCGAAUGGCUCAUUAUAUAAGUUAUCGUUUAUUUGAUAGUACCUUACUACUUGGAUAACCGUGGUAAUUCUAGAGCUAAUACAUGCUGCCAACCCCGACUCCGGAAGGGGCGUAUUUAUUAGAUCCAAAGCCAACGCCCUCCUGGGGCUCCUUGGUGAUUCAUGAUAACUCUUCGAAUCGCACGGCCUUGCGCCGGCGAUGGUUCAUUCAAAUUUCUUCCCUAUCAACUUUCGAUGUUUGGGUAUUGGCCAAACAUGGUCGCAACGGGUAACGGAGGGUUAGGGCUCGACCCCGGAGAAGGAGCCUGAGAAACGGCUACUACAUCCAAGGAAGGCAGCAGGCGCGCAAAUUACCCAAUCCCGACACGGGGAGGUAGUGACAAUAAAUACUGAUACAGGGCUCUUUAGGGUCUUGUAAUUGGAAUGAGUACAGUUUAAACCCCUUAGCGAGGAACAAUUGGAGGGCAAGUCUGGUGCCAGCAGCCGCGGUAAUUCCAGCUCCAAUAGCGUAUAUUAAAGUUGUUGUGGUUAAAAAGCUCGUAGUUGAACCUUGGGCCUGGCUGGCCGGUCCGCCUCACCGCGUGCACUGGUCCGGCCGGGCCUUUCCCUCUGCGGAACCCCAUGCCCUUCGCUGGGCGUGGCGGGGAGGCAGGACGUUUACUUUGAAAAAAUUAGAGUGCUCAAGGCAGGCCUAUGCUCGGAUACAUUAGCAUGGAAUAAUGAAACAGGACGCGCGGUUCCGUUUCGUUGGCUCUAGGGACCGCCGUAAUGAUCGAUAGGGACAGUCGGGGGCAUCA
rnacentral:rRNA from 2 species